rnacentral:tRNA from 1 species
UGGGGUAUAGCCAAGCGGUAAGGCACAGCACUUUGACUGCUGCACGCGCUGGUUCGAAUCCAGCUACCCCAG